UCCCUCGUGGUCCAGUGGCUAAGACUGUGCACUCCCAAUGCAGGGAACCCAGGUUUGAUCCCUGGUCUGGGAA
rnacentral:tRNA from 1 species